rnacentral:rRNA from 1 species
GAUGAACGCUAGCGAUAGGCUUAACACAUGCAAGUCGAGGGGCAGCAUGGUCUUAGCUUGCUAAGACUGAUGGCGACCGGCGCACGGGUGCGUAACGCGUAUGCAACUUGCCUCACAGAGGGGGAUAACCCGUCGAAAGACGGACUAAUACCGCGUACACUUGGGAUAGGGCAUCCUACUCCAAGGAAAUGAAAUUCGCUGUGAGAUAGGCAUGCGUCCCAUUAGCUAGUUGGUGAGGUAACGGCUCACCAAGGCGACGAUGGGUAGGGGAACUGAGAGGUUGAACCCCCACACUGGUACUGAGACACGGACCAGACUCCUACGGGAGGCAGCAGUGAGGAAUAUUGGUCAAUGGGCGAGAGCCUGAACCAGCCAAGUCGCGUGAAGGAUGACUGUCUUAUGGAUUGUAAACUUCUUUUAUACGGGAAUAACAAGAGCCACGUGUGGCUCCCUGCAUGUACCGUAUGAAUAAGCAUCGGCUAACUCCGUGCCAGCAGCCGCGGUAAUACGGAGGAUGCGAGCGUUAUCCGGAUUUAUUGGGUUUAAAGGGUGCGUAGGCGGCCUGUUAAGUCAGCGGUGAAAUCUAGGAGCUUAACUCCUAAAUUGCCAUUGAUACUGGCGGGCUUGAGUGUAGAUGAGGUAGGCGGAAUGCGUGGUGUAGCGGUGGAAUGCAUAGAUAUCACGCAGAACUCCGAUUGCGAAGGCAGCUUACUAAGGUACAACUGACGCUGAAGCACGAAAGCGUGGGUAUCAAACAGG